CCUUUUCCAACAGUUCCUGAACUAAUCUCAGGCAAAUGCCUGCAUUUCCUCAUUACAUUAUCCUGCCUGAGUUACUUUCAGCUAAGAAACAUAAAACAAAAAAUCGCAUGCUGUUUCUUCAGGUUUCAGUUAAACUACUCGCCCAUUUUAUUUAUUCUGUGGCCUUAAAUUCUAAGAUGCAUUGUCUUUUUCAUUUUUCAGCAUUUAAAAAUAUGCGAUUUGGAAUUGACAUGAACCUGCAGUGUGAGUGUCUACCCACCUUGGAGCUGUUGUCAAGUCCGGGAUGCUUCAAACAAUCACUGGCAUUGUAGAAGCAAGAGAAUGCGACCAUUUUCUGUUCCUUUUGAAAACGUCGAUGAAAAGCCAGGAUAGAGGCUCUUUUUGCACUUUGAAUUUUCACAGUUAUGUAGUGGCAGAGAUUAUGGAAAAAGUACAGCUCUCACUUAGGAAGGCUAGGGUCCAAAUCCCUGGAUGGCUGUGAAGACGCUGCCUGCAUUCCAGGGUGGACAGUGUCUUCACAGCUGUCCCGUCCUGUGGGCUCCACUGUGGGCUCCUCCAUGGGCUUCUCCGUGGGCUCCUCCGUGGGCUCCUCUGUGGGCUUCACUGCACUGCCUGGAUCUCCAUCCCUGGUUACCAAGCUCUGCACGCCCAGUUCCUCCUGAAAGCUGCCUCCUCCUCUCUGCUCUAACAGUGACAUAGUCGUCGCUGGAGGGUCUCAUGGCACUUGCAGACCGCUCGAGUGUGGACACUCACUCUCCACCCCUACCCAAGCCGCCAGUGUCCUCCAGGUCCCUAAUGUGGCUCUACCUGCAGGUAUAAUCUGCUGCUGCUUGGAGGGUCGGGGCAUUCAGCUUCACCCCCGGCUAUCCUUCUCAUUGCUCUCAUCCAGGACAUCCCCCUUCUCUGGGGACCUUGAUCGCCAUCUCCACCUCCUCCCCACCCCAAGCUCUGCUGCCAUCUUUGCCUCACCAGGCCGACAUCCUGAGUCAUGACUGGACUCCAGCCUAGGCAACAACACAGAACUCUCUCUCAAAAGAAAAACAUAACAAAAAAAAAAAAAAAAAAAAACUCAACAAGAAAAACUGGCACAGAGGAUAGGGAAAUAGAUAUUUAAACAAAUCAUUACAAAGUGUGCAAAAAGAAUUAAAUAUCUUCACCCUUUUUACUGUUUUCCAACCUUGUAUCAUUUUGCUCUUUUUUCUUUCUCUAAGGAAUUAUCUCUUGCCCUCUGGUCUCAGGUUGACUAUGUAGGUAAUUAACAGUUAUUAAUAAUUAACAGUUCUACUCCGCCACAGAGCAGACUUUCAUUACAACCUGAGUGAUUUUAAGGAUACUGAGUUAAAGCUCUGAAUUGAACAAAAACUGAGUAAGGUUCUCACUGAUGUCACCAUAAAAACCCUCCAGGGAGGUAGCAGUUCCUUGAAAAGAAGCCAAAUUUAACUUAGUCAACAGCACAAGUUAAGAGGUUAGAAAACAUUCAGCAGGCAACUCCCUCUCUGAUACUAAGCAUUUAAAACAUUUGCACAUGUGUAAAAUUUGCACCAGCGUGAUGCACAGAGCAAGGACACUGACCACAGAGCUGGAUAACUGAGGUACAGCCUGGACGAGAGCCUGAGAAAGGUCUGCCACCCACUCUGUGACUCCUUGAGGGGUCACUCGCAAUGCUAUGGAAAUCAGGGUCUGGAGAGUACACACACCUGGCUUGUGCCAGGCUUUGCCCCCUGGAAGGUAUGUGGGUUUGGGCCAAACCUCACAAAGCCUCUGCUUAGUCAAUAAUAAUAAUACUAGUAGUAGAUAAUAAUGCACUAAAUGUGAUACAAGUUGAAUAUCCCUUAUCUGAGAUGCUUAGGACGAGAAGUGUUGUGCUUUUCAAAUUCUGGAAUAUCUGCGUUAUACUUACCUGCAGAGAACCUCUAAUCUGAACAUCCAAAAUCCGAAAUGCUCCAACAAGCAUUUCCUUUGAGCAUCAGGUCAGCCCUCAACAUUAGUUUCAGAUGAUUUUGGAGCAUUCCAGAUUUCGGGUUUUCAGAUUAGGAAUGCUCAACCUAUAACAAUAACAUCAACCUCAUAGAGAGGAUUACUGAGAUAAAACAGGUCAUGCAUGCAGUAAACAAGCUAUACAUUCUCAAGUUUUAAAAAAAAAUUUUAAAUUUUUCACACAGUAAAAUUCACUUGUUGUGCAGUUCUAUGGGCUUUCAUAUCCACAUGGAUUCUUGUAACCAUCACCACAAACAGGAUACAGAACAAUUCUAAGGCCCCUUAAGAAUUCCCUUGGUCUCUUUAUUUCUAAUCAGGCCCUUCCCCAGCCCCACUCCCAACUCCUAAACCCUGCCCCUAGAGGUCUCUCUUCCAGGGCAUCAUAUGAAUAGGACGCUACAGCUGUAGCCUUUUGAGACUGGUUUAUUUCACUCAGUACAAUGCAUUUGAGAUGCAGUCACAUUGUUGUUUAUAUUAAUAGUUUGCUCCUUAUUACUGAGUCGUGUUCCAUUAUGUGAAUGUACUAUAGUUAGUUAUUCUAUCCACUCAGGGAAGGAAGGACAUUCAAAUUAUUUUCAGUUUUAGGAAAUUAUGAAUAAAGCUGCUAUAAAUAUUCAUUACAGUUUUGUGAGAUAUAACUUCUUAUUUCUAUAGGAUAAAUAAGUAUCUAGGAGUGGAACUGCCAGGUCACAUGGCAAGGAUAACAUUUAACUUCAAAAGCCACUGCCACUGUCUUCCAGAGGGCUCUACUGUCACAUCCCCACCAGCGAUACUGGUACGUCCCAACAGAGAUGUAUGAGAAACGGGCCUGCUCCACCUUCUUGGCAGCACUUGGUGUUGUCAGUAUUCUUUAUCUUAGCUAUAGUAGGUAUGCGAUGCUUGGGUUUUUUUCUUUUUUGGAAGAUAGAACAUUUAUAUGAGACUGUGUUUAAUUAUCUACUUUUGAUACAGUUUAGAUGUUUGCCUCCUCCAAAUCUCAUGUUGAAAUGUGCUCCCCAAUGGUGGAGGUGGUGCCUGGUGGGCGGUGUUUGGGUUAUGGGGACAGAUCCCUCACAAAUAGC